rnacentral:rRNA from 1 species
AGUGAACGCUGGCGGUAGGCCUAACACAUGCAAGUCGAACGGCAGCACAGUAAGAGCUUGCUCUUACGGGUGGCGAGUGGCGGACGGGUGAGGAAUACAUCGGAAUCUACUUUUUCGUGGGGGAUAACGUAGGGAAACUUACGCUAAUACCGCAUACGACCUACGGGUGAAAGCAGGGGAUCUUCGGACCUUGCGCGAUUGAAUGAGCCGAUGUCGGAUUAGCUAGUUGGCGGGGUAAAGGCCCACCAAGGCGACGAUCCGUAGCUGGUCUGAGAGGAUGAGCAGCCACACUGGAAAAGAGGCACGGUACAGACUCCUACGGGAGGCAGCAGUGGGGAAUAUUGGACGAUGGGCGCAAGCUUGAUCGAGCCUUACCGCGUGAAUGAAGAAGGCCUUCGGGUUGUAAAGCCCUUUUGUUGGGAAAGAAAAGCAGCAGGUGAAUCCCCCACUGUACUGACGGUACCCAAAGAAGAAGCAACGGCUAACUUCGUG